CCUACGGGUGGCAGCAGUGGGGGAUAUUGCACAAUGGGGGGAACCCUGAUGCAGCGACGCCGCGUGGGUGAAGGAGUGCUUCGGCAUGUAAAGCCCUAUCGGCAGGGAAGAAGCAAGACGUUACCUGACUAAGAUGCACCGGCUAACUCCGUGCCAGCAGCCUCGGUAAUACGUAGGGGGCGAGAGUUAACCGGAUUCACUGGGUGUAAAGGGAGGGUUGACGGCCAAGGAAGCCAGGGGUGAAAGGCCGGGGCCCAACCCCGGGACUGCCCUUGGAACUGGAUGGCUGGAGUGCGGGAGGGGCAGGCGGAAUUCCUGGUGUAGCGGUGAAAUGCGUAGAUAUCAGGAAGAACACCGACUGCGAAGGCGGCCUGCUGAACCGCGACUGACGUUGAGGCUCGAAAGCGUGGGGAGCGAACAGGAUUAGAUACCCUUGUAGUC
rnacentral:rRNA from 1 species